rnacentral:tRNA from 1 species
GGCACUGUAUCUUAGAGGUUAAAGCACCUGUCUCGUAAACAGGAGAUUAUGGGUUCAAAUCCCAGCAGUGCCU